UACGUAGGGUGCAAGCGUUAAUCGGAAUUACUGGGCGUAAAGCGUGCGCAGGCGGUUCGGAAAGAAAGAUGUGGAAUCCCAGGGCUUAACCUUGGAACUGCAUUUUUAACUGCCGGGCUAGAGUAUGUCAGAGGGGGGUAGAAUUCCACGUGUAGCAGUGAAAUGCGUAGAGAUGUGGAGGAAUACCGAUGGCGAAGGCAGCCCCCUGGGAUAAUACUGACGCUCAUGCACGAAAGCGUGGGGAGCAAACAGG
rnacentral:rRNA from 1 species